rnacentral:rRNA from 1 species
UUGGAGGGCAAGUUUGGUGCCAGCAGCCGCGGUAAUUCCAGCUCCAAUAGCGUAUAUUAAAGUUGUUGCAGUUAAAAAGCUCGUAGUUGAAUUUCGGGAUUAGCAGGUCGGUCGUGCCACUGGUACGUACUGGUCUUAUUGAUUCCUCCCUUCUGACGAGCCGUAAUGCCAUUAAUUUGGUGUUGCGGGGAAUCAGGACUGUUACUUUUAAAAAAUUAAAAUGGUUAAAGCAGG